rnacentral:rRNA from 1 species
UACAGAGGGGGCAAGCGUUGUUCGGAAUUACUGGGCGUAAAGGGCGCGUAGGCGGCCGUGCAAGUCGCGUGUGAAAGCCCCCGGCUCAACUGGGGAGGGUCACGCGAUACUGCUCGACUCGAAGGCAGGAGAGGGAAGUGGAAUUCCCGGUGUAGUGGUGAAAUGCGUAGAUAUCGGGAGGAACACCAGUGGCGAAGGCGACUUCCUGGCCUGUUCUUGACGCUGAGGCGCGAAAGCUAGGGUAGCAAACGGG